AGCAGCCGCGGUAAUACGGAGGGUGCGAGCGUUGUCCGGAUUUAUUGGGUUUAAAGGGUACGUAGGCGGUAUAUUAAGUCAGUGGUGAAAUUCUGCAGCUCAACUGUAGGCGUGCCAUUGAUACUGGUAUACUUGAGUGUUGUAAGGGUGGGCGGAAUUCCGCAUGUAGCGGUGAAAUGCAUAGAUAUGCGGAGGAACACCGAAAGCGAAGGCAGCUCACUAGGCAACAACUGACGCUGAGGUACGAAAGCGUGGGGAGCGAACAGGA
rnacentral:rRNA from 1 species